UACGGAGGGUGCAAGCGUUAAUCGGAAUUACUGGGCGUAAAGCGCACGCAGGCGGUCUGUCAAGUCGGAUGUGAAAUCCCCGGGCUCAACCUGGGAACUGCAUCCGAAACUGGCAGGCUAGAGUCUUGUAGAGGGGGGUAGAAUUCCAGGUGUAGCGGUGAAAUGCGUAGAGAUCUGGAGGAAUACCGGUGGCGAAGGCGGCCCCCUGGACAAAGACUGACGCUCAGGUGCGAAAGCGUGGGGAGCAAACAGGAUUAGAUACCCUGGUAGUCCACGCCGUAAACGAGGUCGAAGUGGAGGUUGUGCCCGGGAGGCGUGGCUUCCGGAGCUAACGCGUUAAGUCGACCGCCUGGGGAGUACGGCCGCAAGGUUAAA
rnacentral:rRNA from 1 species